UGUCAGCGGCGGGAGCGCCCGCAGCGUGAGGUCAUCGCACGGCGCGGCCCCGGCCCCGGCCCGGCCCCAGCGGCCGCGGCGGGCAGCAGCAGCAGCAUGGCGGAGGAGGCGGAGGAGCCGUCGCCGCGGGUGGGAGCGUGGUUGCCGGUGCUGGUGGAGCAGAUGGUGAACGACACGCUGGUGGUGACUCUGAGCUGCGGGGAACGCCGCUUUACCGGCGUCCUGCUGGACUGCACCAAGAAGUCCGGGCUCUUUUGCCUCCCGUCCUCCCUCCCCAAGCCCGAGGAUCCUCACGCCAACGGUGCCGCCGACAGCGGGGGCGCAGCGCAGGGCGCGACGGAGCCGCACCCCGCCGGCCAGCAGCCCCCCAAGGGCAGGGGAGAUGAGCAGGUGCCCCCUCUGCUGCCUGCCCCACCGGCAGGCAACCUCCCCCCUUACCCGCCCUACUUCGAGGGAGCCCCCUUCCCCCGGCCGCUCUGGCUGCGGCACACGUACCAGCAGUGGGUGCCUCAGCCGCCGCCGCGGACCAUCAAGAGGACGCGGCGGCGCCUGUCGCGGAACCGCGACCCGGGCAGGCUGAUCAUGAGCACCAUCAGGCUGCGGCCCCGGCAGGUGCUCUGCGAGAAGUGCAAGAACACCCUGAACCCCGAGGAUGCCGGUGCCCCCCGGCAGAGCGCCAAGACCAGGAGGAGGCUGAGCAUCCAGGACAAGGAGCAGAAGAAGCACGGCGACUCCGACUACGCGGAGAAGAGGAACAAGCGAGAGAAGAGGGAGGACGAGAAGUUCUCCGGGGAGCUGGUGCAUCGCACGCCGGUGAUCAAAAUCUCCUACAGCACUCCGCAGGGGAAGGGAGAGGUGGUCAAGAUCCCUUCCCGGGUCCACGGCUCCGUCAAACCCUUCUGCCCGGAGCGCGUGCUGCAGAACGGAGGGGAGGACCAAGAGGAGGGCAGAGACUCGGAGCGGUGUCGAGAAACCAAAUGCUGCCUGGAGAAGUCGCCGGGCGGGCAGCUGGCUUCCAUCCCCAAGCUGAAGCUGACGCGGCCGGUGCCCGCCAGCGCCGAGGCGCCGCCCCCCAAGAUCCGGCUGAAGCCUCACCGCAUCCGCGACGGGCAGAGCGUCUCCAUCUACAAGGCGGAACUCAUCGACGAGAUCAACGUCCUGCAGGGCAGCCGGGACCCCGACCCCGCCGCCUUCUACAAUGACGAAUCCGCCGACAGGAGCCCGGCCGAGAUGUCCUCGGGGAGCUCGGGGGAGGACGACGACUUCAAGCGGUUCCCCCAGGGUAAAGAGGGCCACGAGAACCUGGCGUUCCUGAUGAACUACCGCAAGAGGAAAGCGGACUCCUCCAGCUUGUCCGUCUGCAGCAACGACAGCCUGGACGAGUCCAAGUCCUCUAGCUCGGAGGUGACGUCUCCGGAGCUGUGUGACUUUCUGCCCGGCGACGAGGCCUCCGUCUCCUCCUCUUCCAAAGACGAGCGCAAGGUGGUGCCGCCCCUGACCGUCAGGCUGCACACCCAGAGCGUCGCCAAGUGCGUGACGGAGGAUGGCAGGACCGUGGCCGUGGGGGACGUUGUUUGGGGUAAAAUCCACGGGUUUCCGUGGUGGCCGGCGCGCGUGCUGGACAUAAACCUUAGCCAGAAGGAGGACGGGGAGCCCUCGUGGCGGGAGGCCAAAGUGUCGUGGUUCGGUUCUCCCACCACCUCCUUCUUGUCCGUUUCCAAACUCUCCCCCUUCUCCGAGUUUUUCAAGCUGAGGUUUAACCGCAAGAAGAAGGGGAUGUACCGCAAAGCCAUCACGGAAGCCGCCAAGGCCGUAGAGCACCUGACUCCGGAAAUCAGAGAGCUCUUAACGCAGUUUGAGACAUAACCUGGCCUCCAGUAUCAGGUAACAGAAGAUAAGAGCACAGCUGUUCUCCUAGAGGGUCACCCAGGCUGUCAGCACCCUGACACGCUCCCCAGGAGAAGCUGGAGGCCGCCGUGCGCGUGGCGGGAGGACGCCUUCCCUUGUCAGCUUGCGCUGCUCUUCGUCCGGGACGGGGGACAGGGGAGAGGCCCCGGGACCUGCAGUCAGAGGUGGCUCUUCUGGUGCGAGGCUGCUGGGAAAGUCUUCAGGAUAUCUCACCCUAGGCUGAGAAAUCUGACAAGUCACGUGGGAGUGCACUUAGGAGAACAGCAAAGCCCACAACUCGGAAUGUAUUUAUUACUCAAAAGUUAGCUAUUCUUGAUAACAAAACCAACCCACCACCAACCACACCCAACCCCCCCCAGAUUAUUGCUGCUGCUUCUUUUCCUUACAGAUUUCACACCCUUGUUAACUCUAAAGCUGCCAGACCUUUGCUCAAUUCUGUGCUCUGAGAAAUGUAAUGGAGCAGGACAUGCAAUAGGAUGAAAUCAUUGUAGUGUCUUAAGUACAAUGGACUCACUUUGGUGUCUAUUAAAACAUGGAAAAUGUGCAACCCCUACCCAUGUGGCUGUCAUUGCAUCUCUGACACUUCCUGUGUCCUUUGCUGCACAGCUGAGAGAAUUCCUGCUGCCAGGGAUCUUAUAAGCAGCAAAAAGGCCACGUGAGAGCAGUGCCUGGAGGAAAGGUGGAAGGUCUGGCAGCAUGAGCCACAUCUCUGCUCUUCCAGAGCAUCCCAGCAGCAUCCCAGCUGGGGAUGGACCAUGGAUGGUGCCUCAGAGGAGAACAACCCCCCCAACCUCAGGUUUUUCUGCUACCUAAAACCAGAUGGAGACUAACAUCACCUUCAGAGGGAGAGAGAGAGGAAAGGAGCUCUGCUGGUCAGAUGUGCAACUCAAGGAUGGAAUCUCCAAGUCAGGGUUCAG